rnacentral:ncRNA from 1 species
GUAUAAGCUGUGAAGGCGUUUCAGGAGAAUGUUUUCUUACAGAGAGAGGGAGUCAUCGGCUGUAAGCCCCCUUAAGUUCAGACAUUAUCUUAAUUUCCCGCCAGAGCUUCAUUUCUGAAAGUAUACAGUAGGAAGUGACGUUGAUGCGCGUUAAGCAUGACUCAAGUGCCUGUGAAUCAGUGUUCACGGGAAACAGGGUGGUACCGCGGUUAUUAUUCCGUCCCUUUU